rnacentral:rRNA from 1 species
GAUGAACGCUGGCGGCGUGCCUAAUACAUGCAAGUCGAGCGAACAGAUGAGGAGCUUGCUCCUCUGACGUUAGCGGCGGACGAGUGAGUAACACGUGGAUAACCUACCUAUAAGACUGGGAUAACUUCGGGAAACCGGAGCUAAUACCGGAUAAUAUAUUGAACCGCAUGGUUCAAUAGUGAAAGACGGUUUUGCUGUCACUUAUAGAUGGAUCCGCGCCGCAUUAGCUAGUUGGUAAGGUAACGGCUUACCAAGGCAACGAUGCGUAGCCGACGUGAGAGGGUGAUCGGCCACCCUGGAGCGGGGACACGGUCCAGACUCCUACGGGAGGCAGCAGUAGGGAAUGUUCCGCAAUGGGCGAAAGCCUGACGGAGCAACGCCGCGUGAGUGAUGAAGGUCUUCGGAUCGUAAAACUCUGUUAUUAGGGAAGAACAAAUGCGUAAGUAACUAUGCACGUCUUGACGGUACCUAAUCAGAAAGCCACGGCUAACUACGUG